rnacentral:rRNA from 1 species
AUGAACGCUGGCGGCGUGCCUAAUACAUGCAAGUCGAGCGAACAGACGAGGAGCUUGCUCCUCUGACGUUAGCGGCGGACGGGUGAGUAACACGUGGAUAACCUACCUAUAAGACUGGGAUAACUUCGGGAAACCGGAGCUAAUACCGGAUAAUAUAUUGAACCGCAUGGUUCAAUAGUGAAAGACGGUUUUGCUGUCACUUAUAGAUGGAUCCGCGCCGCAUUAGCUAGUUGGUAAGGUAACGGCUUACCAAGGCAACGAUGCGUAGCCGACCUGAGAGGGUGAUCGGCCACACUGGAACUGAGACACGGUCCAGACUCCUACGGGAGGCAGCAGUAGGGAAUCUUCCGCAAUGGGCGAAAGCCUGACGGAGCAACGCCGCGUGAGUGAUGAAGGUCUUUGGAUCGUAAAACUCUGUUAUUAGGGAAGAACAAAUGUGUAAGUAACUAUGCACGUCUUGACGGUACCUAAUCAGAAAGCCACGGCUAACUACGUG